UACGUAGGGGGCAAGCGUUGUCCGGAAUCAUUGGGCGUAAAGAGCGCGUAGGCGGCCCUGUAAGUCCGCUGUGAAAGUCCAGGGCUCAACCCUGGAAUGCCGGUGGAUACUGUCGGGCUCGAGUCCGGAAGAGGCGAGUGGAAUUCCUGGUGUAGCGGUGAAAUGCGCAGAUAUCAGGAGGAACACCAAUGGCGAAGGCAGCUCGCUGGGACGGUACUGACGCUGAGACGCGAAAGCGUGGGGAGCAAACAGG
rnacentral:rRNA from 1 species